UACGGGGGGGGCAAGCGUUGUUCGGAAUUACUGGGCGUAAAGGGCGCGUAGGCGGCUCACUAAGUCGGAUGUGAAAACUCUGGGCUCAACCCAGAGCCUGCAUCCGAAACUGGUGGGCUAGGGUGCUGGAGGGGAUAGCGGAAUUCCUGGUGUAGCGGUGAAAUGCGUAGAUAUCAGGAGGAACACCGGUGGCGAAGGCGGCUAUCCUGGACAGUAACCGACGGCU
rnacentral:rRNA from 1 species